rnacentral:rRNA from 1 species
AUACGUAGGUGGCAAGCGUUGUCCGGAUUUACUGGGUGUAAAGGGCGCGUAGGCGGGAGCGCAAGUCAGAUGUGAAAUCUAUGGGCUUAACCCAUAAACUGCAUUUGAAACUGUGCUUCUUGAGUAUCGGAGAGGCAGGCGGAAUUCCUAGUGUAGCGGUGAAAUGCGUAGAUAUUAGGAGGAACACCAGUGGCGAAGGCGGCCUGCUGGACGACAACUGACGCUGAUGCGCGAAAGCGUGGGGAGC